rnacentral:lncRNA from 1 species
GCAUCUUUUCCAGAAGGCAAGAAAGGUCUUUUCCUGUUCUUUUUUUCUCUUUCAGUUGCAUUUGUGAAUAAUUUCAUAUGAGAAAGAAAGGAAAAGGAAUAUCUGGAGAUAUUCUUCAAGACACAGAGAAGACACCAUCCUGGAAAAACCAUGCUCUACUACAGAAGCAGCUAUUUACCGAAUAAAAAAAUUAUUUCACUAUUAGAAAAACCAGCUGACACAUCCUAAGAGCUCAUGUUCUUAAUAACAAAUAGAAGUUACAACCUAAGGUAAGAAUGUUAAACUAUUGAACUGAUAUGAAUUCACUUUGUAUUCAAAGAUCUA